GACGAACGCUGGCGGCGUGCUUAACACAUGCAAGUCGAACGGAAAGGCCCUGCUUUUGUGGGGUGCUCGAGUGGCGAACGGGUGAGUAAAACGUGAGUAACCUGCCCUUGACUUUGGGAUAACUUCAGGAAACUGGGGCUAAUACCGGAUAGGAGCUCCUGCUGCAUGGUGGGGGUUGGAAAGUUUCGGCGGUUGGGGAUGGACUCGCGGCUUAUCAGCUGGUUGGGGGGGUAGGGGCUUACCAAGGCUUUGACGGGUAGCCGGCGUGAGAGGGUGACCGGCCACAUUGGGCCUGAGAUACGGCCCAGAAUCCUACGGGAGGCAGCAGUCGGGAAUAUUGCACAAUGGGCGGAAGCCUGAUGCAGCAACGCCGCGUGCGGGAUGACGGCCUUCGGGUUGUAAACCGCUUUCGCCUGUGACGAAGCGUGAGUGACGGUAAUGGGUAAAGAAGCACCGGCUAACUACGUG
rnacentral:rRNA from 1 species